AUGUCCUCUGCUGGGAGAGAAGAAUAACAUCCCCUGAGGAAGAGUGGGUGGAAUAUGAAGCAGGGCCUGAAAGACAUCCCUGGGGACAAAGCAGCUAGGCAAGGCUGGAUUGCAGGAAAGAUGGUGUCAGAAGGCCCCAAGCUUUGUUAUCUGGAAGAGAACGACCUGGUGGACUGGGAGGUCUGGGUGAUCACUCCAACUGAGAAGCCAAGGAUGAAAUACAAGGUGAAGAAUAACAUCUCUUUGAAGAGCGGCAAAGAGACAAGAUUGGGGUGGAUGCAAUAGUUAGAGGAGAAGCCUGACUAUUGUGAAGCCUGAGCUGAAGCAGGGAUCAUAGCCAUGGAGCAAAGGGAAUGAGACUUUUGUUUGUUUGUUUAUGAUGAGACUUGAAUCACCUUGACUUGGUAACCCAUCCAGGAAGCAUGAGGAAUAGAAAUAAGAUGCUGUGCACAAACCUUUCUGGUUCCCCCCAUUCUGGGCACACAGUAGGUUUGUAGAUUGUGCUCCCCUUGUGGUUGAUGGAGUUAUAUGGCCAGCUGUGGCAAAUGUGUUGGGAGUACAAGUGCCAGAUGUCACUUCUGGACUGAACAGUUAAUUAUCAGUGUGAGAUCCUUCUUCUCCUCCAGGCCCAACAACUGGUAAAGUUUGCAAUAAUGGCUCUUCCAUUGGCCUAGGACCCUAAGUGGUUACAGUAAGCAUGGGACACCUGGCAAGCUGCACUAGACCUGUAGCAUGAACAAGAAAUAAACCCUUGUUUUUUUAACCCCCUGAGAAAUCAGGUUAUUUGUUAUCAGUAUAAAACCUAGGCUGUCCUGACUGAUACAGAAAAUGUGAACUUUACAGCCAAGGGCCAAUGAACACUGUCAGGAUAGUAACAUCCAUAUUAAAAAAUAAAUAAAUAAAUAAAUAAAUCCCAGUCCCAACAAAGGGCUCCUUUGCUUUGAGCCAGAUUCACUGACUCCAAACUUGAAAAGCAAUGAAGACUUUGGAGAGUCCGCCUGAAAUUUCUCUGUAGCUAACUUUUGCUUUGGGGUCCAGAUGCUGGGAGAGAGGAGCCUUGUGUGUGUUUUACAUACAUUAGUCACAGUGCUCAUGGUCCUGGAUGGUGGCCAUUGGAACUGGCCUCAUAUUUUAGCACAUGCAUCUGGACUAGGCAGAUAGAAACCUAGCUAUAAUGAGUUUGCCCCUUGUUCAUGACAUUUGUGCAUUGUAGGGGGGAAAAUGAGGGAAAUUUUUUAAUCCUAAAGUCUGCCUGCUUUCAGCACAGUAACUGGGAUGAGGUCUAGGAGUCUGACUUGGAUUUUAACUUAACUUCCUAACAACGCCUAGAAAAGAAGUCAGAAAUGAAUCAGCCACUUUUUAGAAUCUUUUGUGGUUUUACUCAAAUUUGCAUUUUUCCCUUUCCAUUGAUGAAGGUGGAAUGCUCAGGAUAACUGUUGACGUCUUUGUUAGAAAAAAAAAAUGAAGUAUUUGCCUGAGGACCCACUGUGUGCAGGCAUUGGGUUACCUGCUUUAUACACUGUCUCCUUCUGUCCUCACAUUACCUAUUUGAAGUAAGUAUGUUAAUUCCGUUUUGAAAGAAAAGUAUGCAGAGAUGUUUAAUACUGGAAAAUGUCAAUGCCAGGACAUGAGACUAGGCCUGCCAACCCGAUAAUUCAUGCUUUUCCCCUAUACCACCCUGCCUUGGGAUUCAUGAUGAAAGUUAUGUCCUGAUAAAACAAGUGCAUUCCUCUAGUUAUUGCUGUGUCUAGAGAACAGUGUAGCAAAGCAGAAACCAUCUUUGGCAGAAUCUGUCAGACCUGUUCAAAUCUUGGGACCACUAUUCAGUGGCAAUGUGACCUCUGGCGAGUUACAGUACCUUUCCGAGUUUCUGUUUCCUUAAAUGAAGCAAAGACUGAAGGGAGGUAUAUGGUGAUGAUAAUUGAGUAAAUGGACAAGAUAAUUUCAAGUAGUGGCAAACGCCAUCAAAGAUGUAAACCAUGAAGCUGUGAUAGAGGUUGGAUGAUGGCUGAUGGUGAGUUGGACUCAAGCACAUUUGACUGGGUGGUCAGGAAAGACCUCACCGGAGAGGGGUUGUUUGACAUAGAAUUUGGUUAAGAAAAAAGACAGCUUUAGAAGAUCUAGGGUUGGAGCAAUGACACCAUAACAGGUAUAGAGGAUCUAAGAUGGCAUUAUGCCUGAUGUGUUUGAGGAGCAGAAUAAAAGACCAAAGGUAGCUUAGUUUAGCCAUUCCACAACGCAUACCUAUUUCAAAACAACAUGUUAUAUGUCAUAAAUAUAUACAAUUUUGAUUU